rnacentral:rRNA from 1 species
UGCUCAGACCGAUAAUCCCUGGCUCCUUUGCAGCGGCCAGUGAAUUGUAGUCUUGAAGGGUCACCUUGCGGAUGUUGGCGCUCGGGCCAAGUCCACUUGGAAUAGUGCGCCGUAGAGGGUGAGAGCCCCGUGCGUGCCCGAGAGUGUUGCCAGUUCGAUCGGUGUCCCCUGGAGAGUCAGGUUGUUUGGGAUUGCAGCCUAAAGCUGGUGGUAGACUCCAUCUAAAGCUAAAUAUGAGCACGAGUCCGAUAGCAAACAAGUACCGUGAGGGAAAGGUGAAAAGCACUUUGAAAAGAGGGUGAAAGAGUACGUGAAACCGUUGGGAGGGAAACAAACAAGUUGACCAAUCGUAAGCUGGGCUGAUUCAGGCUGCACCGUGUGGGAUCCGUAGGCUCUUUAGGCUGUGCUGUGAGCGGUGCCUCUGGGUGCUGCCUAGCACGGCCGGUUUGCGGCAUCGUGUGCGAGCUGCUCUUCAUGCCACGGCUUAGCCAGUCAGGUUCGCUUGCUGCCCGAUGAGGGCCGCUUCAAGCUGAUGGUGAUCGCUGCGACUAGUCAGGUGGGCUGAGCCGAGUGCCUUUACGGGCGCUUUGUUUGGCUGUUUAUAGACGCAUUCGUUUCUGGUCACCCGAGCGAACGUGGCACAACGUUGGAGAUGUUCUUCUCCUUCACUCGAUCAGAUGGGUUGUUUCGGCAAUCUUUCUGCCUCCUGCGCAAGGGCAGCGGAUGUGACGCCUUGUUUGCGAUGCUGAUCAACCUCUUGGAGGGAGAUUAGCGCAUCUGUUGUGUACACCGAGCGCAGUGAUGAGCUGUACUUGUUCUGAUCGAUGC